rnacentral:rRNA from 1 species
UACGGAGGGGGCUAGCGUUGUUCGGAAUUACUGGGCGUAAAGCGCACGUAGGCGGCUUUGUAAGUUAGAGGUGAAAGCCCGUGGCUCAACUCCGGAAUUGCCUUUAAGACUGCAUCGCUAGAAUUGUGGAGAGGUAAGUGGAAUUCCGAGUGUAGAGGUGAAAUUCGUAGAUAUUCGGAAGAACACCAGUGGCGAAGGCGACUUACUGGACACAUAUUGACGCUGAGGUGCGAAAGCGUGGGGAGCAAACAGG